rnacentral:rRNA from 1 species
GUAGGUGGCAAGCGUUGUCCGGGAAUUAUUGGGGCGUAAAGCGCGCGCAGGCGGUUCUUUAAGUCUGAUGUGAAAGCCCACGGGCUCAAACCGUGGAGGGUCAUUGGAAACUGGAGAACUUGAGUACAGAAGAGGAAAGCGGAAUUCCACGUGUAGCGGUGAAAUGCGUAGAGAUGUGGAGGAACACCAGUGGCGAAGGCGGCUUUCUGGUCUGUGACUGACGCUGAGGCGCGAAAGCGUGGGGAGCAAACAGGAUUAGAUACCCUGGUAGUCCACGCCGUAAACGAUGAGUGCUAAGUGUUAGGGGGUUUCCGCCCCUUAGUGCUGCAGCUAACGCAUUAAGCACUUCGCCUGGGGAGUACGGCCGCAAGGCUG